CCUCAAAAGAAGCAGAGGGGGCUUAGUGGUGGGGUGACUGCGUACCUUUUGUAUAAUGGGUCAGCGACUUAUAUUCUGUAGCAAGGUUAACUGUAUAGGGGAGCCGGAGGGAAACCGAGUCUUAACCGGGCGUUAAGUUGCAGGGUAUAGACCCGAAACCCGGUGAUCUAGCCAUGGGCAGGUUGAAGGUUGGGUAACACUAACUGGAGGACCGAACCGACUAAUGUUGAAAAAUUAGCGGAUGACCUGUGGCUGGGGGUGAAAGGCCAAUCAAACCGGGAGAUAGCUGGUUCUCCCCGAAAGCUAUUUAGGUAGCGCCUCGUGAAUUCAUCUCCGGGGGUAGAGCACUGUUUCGGCUAGGGGGCCAUCCCGGCUUACCAACCCGAUGCAAACUGCGAAUACCGGAGAAUGUUAUCACGGGAGACACACGGCGGGUGCUAAUGUCCGUCGUGAAGAGGGAAACAACCCAGACCGCCAGCUAAGGUCCCAAAGUCAUGGUUAAGUGGGAAACGAUGUGGGAAGGCCCAGACAGCCAGGAUGUUGGCUUAGAAGCAGCCAUCAUUUAAAGAAAGCGUAAUAGCUCACUGGUCGAGUCGGCCUGCGCGGAAGAUGUAACGGGGCUAAACCAUGCACCGAAGCUGCGGCAGCGACACCGUGUGUUGUUGGGUAGGGGAGCGUUCUGUAAGCCUGUGAAGGUGUGCUGUGAGGCAUGCUGGAGGUAUCAGAAGUGCGAAUGCUGACAUAAGUAACGAUAAAGCGGGUGAAAAGCCCGCUCGCCGGAAGACCAAGGGUUCCUGUCCAACGUUAAUCGGGGCAGGGUGAGUCGACCCCUAAGGCGAGGCCGAAAGGCGUAGUCGAUGGGAAACGGGUUAAUAUUCCCGUACUUGGUGUUACUGCGAAGGGGGGACGGAGAAGGCUAUGUUGGCCGGGCGACGGUUGUCCCGGUUUAAGCGUGUAGGUAUGUGUUCCAGGUAAAUCCGGUUCACUUUAACACUGAGGCGUGACGACGAGGCACUACGGUGCUGAAGCAACAAAUGCCCUGCUUCCAGGAAAAGCCUCUAAGCAUCAGGUAACAUCAAAUCGUACCCCAAACCGACACAGGUGGUCAGGUAGAGAAUACCAAGGCGCUUGAGAGAACUCGGGUGAAGGAACUAGGCAAAAUGGUGCCGUAACUUCGGGAGAAGGCACGCUGACACGUAGGUGAAGUGAUUUACUCACGGAGCUGAAGUCAGCCGAAGAUACCAGCUGGCUGCAACUGUUUAUUAAAAACACAGCACUGUGCAAACACGAAAGUGGACGUAUACGGUGUGACGCCUGCCCGGUGCCGGAAGGUUAAUUGAUGGGGUCAGCGCAAGCGAAGCUCCUGAUCGAAGCCCCGGUAAACGGCGGCCGUAACUAUAACGGUCCUAAGGUAGCGAAAUUCCUUGUCGGGUAAGUUCCGACCUGCACGAAUGGCGUAAUGAUGGCCAGGCUGUCUCCACCCGAGACUCAGUGAAAUUGAACUCGCUGUGAAGAUGCAGUGUACCCGCGGCAAGACGGAAAGACCCCGUGAACCUUUACUAUAGCUUGACACUGAACAUUGAGCCUUGAUGUGUAGGAUAGGUGGGAGGCUUUGAAGUGUGGACGCCAGUCUGCAUGGAGCCGACCUUGAAAUACCACCCUUUAAUGUUUGAUGUUCUAACGUGGACCCGUGAUCCGGGUUGCGGACAGUGUCUGGUGGGUAGUUUGACUGGGGCGGUCUCCUCCUAAAGAGUAACGGAGGAGCACGAAGGUUGGCUAAUCCUGGUCGGACAUCAGGAGGUUAGUGCAAUGGCAUAAGCCAGCUUGACUGCGAGCGUGACGGCGCGAGCAGGUGCGAAAGCAGGUCAUAGUGAUCCGGUGGUUCUGAAUGGAAGGGCCAUCGCUCAACGGAUAAAAGGUACUCCGGGGAUAACAGGCUGAUACCGCCCAAGAGUUCAUAUCGACGGCGGUGUUUGGCACCUCGAUGUCGGCUCAUCACAUCCUGGGGCUGAAGUAGGUCCCAAGGGUAUGGCUGUUCGCCAUUUAAAGUGGUACGCGAGCUGGGUUUAGAACGUCGUGAGACAGUUCGGUCCCUAUCUGCCGUGGGCGCUGGAGAACUGAGGGGGGCUGCUCCUAGUACGAGAGGACCGGAGUGGACGCAUCACUGGUGUUCGGGUUGUCAUGCCAAUGGCACUGCCCGGUAGCUAAAUGCGGAAGAGAUAAGUGCUGAAAGCAUCUAAGCACGAAACUUGCCCCGAGAUGAGUUCUCCCUGAGACUUUAGGUCUCCUGAAGGAACGUUGAAGACGACGACGUUGAUAGGCCGGGUGUGUAAGCGCAGCGAUGCGUUGAGCUAACCGGUACUAAUGAACCGUGAGGCUUAACCUUACAACGCCGAAG
rnacentral:rRNA from 1 species